rnacentral:rRNA from 1 species
AAUCGAACUUGGAGAUAGCUGGUUCUCCUCGAAAUAGCUUUAGGGCUAGCCUCAAUUUAGUUUACAGGGGGUAGAGCACUGAAUACCGUAGGGGUGUUAGACAUUACCGAAAGUUAUCAAACUGCGAAUACCUGAUAAAUGAUGAUUGGGAGUCAGACUAUGUGGGAUAAGCUUCAUAGUCAAAAGGGAAAGAGCCCAGACCACCAGCUAAGGUCCCUAAAUAUAGAUUAAGUGGUAAAGGAUGUUUUACUACUUAGACAACCAGGAUGUUGGCUUAGAAGCAGCCAUACAUUUAAAGAGUGCGUAAUAGCUCACUGGUCAAGUGGUAGAGCGCCGAAAAUGAACGGGGCUAAAAUCUAAUACCGAAGCUGUGGACUAAUUUAAUUAGUGGUAGAGGAGCAUUGUGUAAGGGGCGAAGCUAAGUUGGAAGACGAAGUGGACUUUACAGAAGAGAGAAUGCUGGCAUGAGUAGCGAAAAGGAGGGUGAGAAUCCCUCCCGUCGAAAGCCUAAGGAUUCCUGAGGAAGGCUCGUCCUCUCAGGGUAAGUCGGGACCUAAGCCCAGGCUGAAAAGCGUAAGCGAUGGACAACAGGUUGAGAUUCCUGUACUAUCUUUGAAUGUUUGAGAGAUGUACUGACGCAGGAGGAUAUGUUGAGCGUGUGAAUGGUAGAGCACGUCUAAGCAAGUAGGUAGAGAAUAGAGGCAAAUCCCUAUUCUUAAUAUCGAGAUGCGAUGGGGAGCGAAAAAUAAGUAGUGAAGCAACAGAUUCCAAACUGCCAAGAAAAGGUACUAUUGAGUGAGAAGAUACCCGUACCAAAACCGACACAGGUAGGCAAGGAGAGAAUCCUAAGACGCGCGGAAGAACCUUUGUUAAGGAACUCGGCAAAAUGACCCCGUAACUUCGGGAGAAGGGGUACCAUUAGAUGUGAGAUACUUUCGUAUGGAGCAUAGAGUGGUCGCAGAGAAUAGGCCCAAGCAACUGUUUACCAAAAACACAAGUCUCUGCUAAAUCGAAAGAUGAAGUAUAGGGGCUGACACCUGCCCGGUGCUGGAAGGUUAAGGGGAAAUGUUAGAGCAAUCGAAGCAUAGAACUUAAGCCCCAGUAAACGGCGGCCGUAACUAUAACGGUCCUAAGGUAGCGAAAUUCCUUGUCGGGUAAGUUCCGACCCGCACGAAAGGUGUAAUGAUUUGGGCACUGUCUCAACAAAGGAUCCGGUGAAAUUGUAGUAGUCGUGAAGAUGCGACUUACCCACGAUAGGACGGAAAGACCCCGUGGAGCUUUACUGUAGGCUGGCAUUGGAAUUUGGUAUUAAAUGUACAGGAUAGGUGGGAGACUAAGAAGCGAGAGCGCCAGUUUUCGUGGAGUCAACGUUGGGAUACCACUCUUUUGAUACUAAAUUUCUAACUUGAUACUCUGAAUCGAGUAUAAGGACACUGUCAGUUGGGCAGUUUGACUGGGGCGGUCGCCUCCUAAAGAGUAACGGAGGCGUUCAAAGGUUCCCUCAGAAUGGAUGGAAAUCAUUCUAAGAGUGCAAAGGCAAAAGGGAGCUUAACUGCGACACCAACAAGUGGAGCAGAUAGGAAACUAGGACUUAGUGAUCCGGUGGUACCGAGUGGAAGGGCCAUCGCUCAACGGAUAAAAGCUACCCCGGGGAUAACAGGCUUAUCUCCCCCAAGAGUUCACAUCGACGGGGAGGUUUGGCACCUCGAUGUCGGCUCGUCUCAUCCUGGGGCUGGAGUAGGUCCCAAGGGUUGGGCUGUUCGCCCAUUAAAGAGGCACGCGAGCUGGGUUCAGAACGUCGUGAGACAGUUCGGUCCCUAUCCAUCGUGGGCGUAGGAAAUUUGAGAGGAGCUGUCCUUAGUACGAGAGGACCGGGAUGGACAGACCGCUGGUGUAUCAGUUAUCAUGCCAAUGGUAAUGCUGAAUAGCUAAGUCUGGAAGGGAUAAGUGCUGAAGGCAUCUAAGCACGAAGCCCCCCUCAAGAUGAGAUUUCCUGUUGC